GCCUCAUUAGCUCAGUCCGGUUUAGAGCGGCAGUUUUGUAAACUGUAGGUCGGGGGUUCAAAUCCCUCAUGAGGCU
rnacentral:tRNA from 1 species